rnacentral:lncRNA from 1 species
AUUGUUGGACACUCUCCAGGACAAAAGGUCUAGAUUCUUCAAAAACAACAACAUCGAAAAAAAAAAACUGCCAGAAAGAAAAAAUACAGAGGGAGAAGGACACAGAACACAUUUAUGAGUCUUUUCACCCUCAUUUCGUUGAAGAUUUUAUUGGCCGAAGAACCCUCAGUAGGCACGAAAUUCAUUCUCACAAGCAGAGAGAUGCAUUAUGCUCCAUUUAUUGCUCAUCCUAAAUUAUAAACAUUUCCAGUGAAUGUAAAGGAAGAUAUGAUUGAAAAGGACUCUGUGAAGACAGGAUGUUUCUGUACAGUCCUUGUAUCUGCUCACCUAUUCCAAACUUUCCAGAGAUUUUACCAGAGGUUUAAGAUAUUCUCCUGAGGGUUUGCUGUAGAGAGAUUUUUCUUAACUAAGGAGUGCAAGUAGCAAGCAAUAGCCCACCCAGUUGGAGACAAAAAAGAAGGGUGUCAGUGUUCCCACUGUUAAAAAACAAAAAAAAAUCACCCUGGACACCUCUGAGAAUUAUACAAGGGGAUGUACACAGCCCUGCUUUAUUUGAGUUCAAAAGGAAGGUGGGUUUUGAAAGAAGAACAAGGAGAGUAGAUCUCUCUGGAUCUUCUGAUGCUCACAGCAAAGAGCUCAAGAGGAAGAAACAGGCCCAGAGAAGUUGGGUAACUCAUCAAAGGUCACAGAGCUAAGAGUGGCAGAGUCAGGCCUGGAGCCCAGGAAGUCUGGUUUCGAAUUUCAUGCUUCUAACCUGAGCACUGUACUGCUUGGUGGAGUUCUCUGCUAGUCCUACCUUUCAGGCAGAGGUGAUGCAGCAAGAAAGCUGCCACCAGAUGCAGCCCCUUGAUCUCGGACUGCCCAGCCUCUAGAACUGAGUUGAAGAGCAAUUCCCUCCAGUUUCCAUUAGAAAUGCUUCUUCUUCCAUAUCAAAUAUUGUGAGAUAGCCUGAAACACCUUUCAACACUUUACUACCCUUCUCCAAAAUUCAACAGAUAUGAUUUCCACGGACUUUACUCACAGGGGCUUCAGUAGAAGAGGAAGAGGCUUGGGUUUAAUUGAAGGUGGCCUGAGACAUCUGUGAGGAACAGCCCUUUUAGAGACAUAUCCCCUACAAAUAAAGCAUCAGAAUUAUUAUCCUAA